UACGUAGGGUGCGAGCGUUAAUCGGAAUUACUGGGCGUAAAGCGUGCGUAGGCGGUUCGUUAAGUGCGUCGUGAAAGCCCCGGGCUCAACCUGGGAAUGGCGAUGGAAACUGGCGGGCUGGAGUAUGGCAGAGGGGGGUGGAAUUCCGCGUGUAGCAGUGAAAUGCGUAGAGAUCGGCAGGAACACCCAGGGGGAAACCAGCCGACUGGGCAUCUACUGACGCUGAGGUGCGAGAGCGUGGGGAGCGAACCGG
rnacentral:rRNA from 1 species